CUCUAGGCUGGACCCCUCAGAUGUGGAGGUUGUAACUGUGGCCUGUGUGGUGGCAGUAUGCUACAAUAGGUGUAGCGCCUUCAGGAAACCCACUGGGUCUUCCUGCGCCGACAGGGUUAGGACAGAGUCCCCUUGUUGCACCACAAGAGUGCCCGAUGCUCCCCAUCUGUAUCUUAUCCCAUUUUCUCUGAGCUUCUUUGUCAUGGGCAUGAACCUCCGUCUCUCAAAAAGGA